AGAUCAAUAAAAUACAAAUGUGUAUUGAUAUCAUGGUUUGUUCUACAAAGAACGAUGAAAUGUCUUGUCAUUCUAAAUCAAAUUAAAACUCGACAGCGGACUAUUUUUAUGUGCAUUUAGAACUUUGUUGACAGAUUGCGAUUCGUGCUCGCGUCGUCUGUCAAAGAUGAUUUGCAAAUUUUUCAUACUAGAAGCAAGGAGAUUGAAAAUUAUUCACAGGAAAAACAGUUUGUUUUGAGGCAAACAAAAUCAACAUUCAAUUAAAUAAAAAAGAGAGUUAAGGAAUUUACGUGCUUUUCCAUGCAUUGUAAGAUUUCCAGAAUAUAGAACAUGUAGUUCCUGAUAAAAAAAACACCAAAAGAUUGCUAAGAUAAAACUGUUGAGUAACUAUUUGUAAUACAGAAUGCACCAAGAUGGUGGUAUGCUACAUAUAUAAUAUUGAUACUAUGACAGAUGAGAAAAGAAACUGAAGACAUAACCAAAUGCUGAAGUCAGCAAAGAUUAAGAUAUAAAGAGUAGAUAUUUUCCUGAAGAUCUCAUUUAUGUCUCGAAUGUGAAGGGAACAGAAGCUAUCAUGAUGAUUCUUUAAAGAAAAGAUACAGAAACACAAGCUCCUGUAGACACUUAUGAAAAAGAAGAUGUUUUUGCAAUGAAUAUGUGUGAAUGUGAUAAAUUAUGGCAAAUCAACAUGGUCAAUUAACA